UACGUAGGGGGCGAGCGUUGUCCGGAUUCAUUGGGCGUAAAGAGCUCGUAGGCGGCUUGGCAAGUCGGGUGUGAAAACUCCAGGCUCAACCUGGAGAUGCCACCCGAUACUGCUAUGGCUUGAGUUCGGUAGGGGACCACGGAAUUCCUGGUGUAGCGGUGAAUGCGCAGAUAAUCUGGAGGAACACCGGGUGGCGAAGGCGG
rnacentral:rRNA from 1 species